ensembl:lncRNA TRD-AS1 TRD antisense RNA 1
AUAAUUCUUUAGUGGAAGAAGCCAAAGAACAGGAAUUAGGCUAUUUAUCCUUGGAAUUCAUUUAGAAAAACUUGGUUUUUCUUGGCCAAGCACUACAGUGAAAACUAACUUCAUGUAGACAGCAUGGGCCAAAUGAGGAUGGACAGCUGACUCAUCACAGGUGGAGAGAGGAUGCCAGACAGAUAUUUGAGCAGAACAAAGAGAGCCAACAGGAUGAAGGCAUUCCCUGGCUGGUUGGACAAGCAACUGAAGAACAGGAACAGAAGUGAAUGAAAAGAGAAGAUGCUGUGUUUGUGUUUUCUCUUGGUUAGAAUGCUGUGAGUCAGGACCUUAGCUGCUGGGUGUCCUGGGACUGCCUUCGAUGAAGAACCUGAGGCUCACCUUGCUUAAGUGACUUGAGCAGCUUCACGCAUCUUGUAAGUAGUAGAGACAGAGUCAAAACCAGAUCUUCCUGCCCUCUCUAUCAUAUAAACCACUUACACUGAAUUACAAAGUGAAACUGAUCUAUGGUGAAUUGUACUAAUGUUCUGCUUCUGCCAUGGGCACCAGAGGAGAUACCUUUCUUUGUUGACACUAAUCUCAAAGGCUAAAUUAGAUCCCCCAAACUCAUUUCCAUUAAUAACAUGUCAAAGGCUUGUGUCAUGCGUUAAUUUAUCCAAAGUGAUCUUGAUUCUAUUUACAUUUUGGUGCCACCUUUUAAUGUCACCAUUUUUAUAAAUUAAAUAUGUAAUAUAUAAAGCCAGUCUUCACUUACUGAUAUGUUAAUUUUUAACCCAAACUUCUUAGUCUGACAUUCCAGCAAUACCGGAGCAUUGACAGUUGAUAAUAGCUCUAUGUGCUACCUCUCCAAGAAACAAAUUUGCAUUUUAACCUGCCCCUUCAAUGGCUGAACUUCAAAGGGUCACUGAUGAAUGCCACAGCAGGUUGGUGGGAAUAUAAUUCUUUUUAUGGAUAAUAUUUGUGUGUGUAUGUGUGUGUGUGUGUUAAAUCCUACCACAUAAGUCACUAACCUAUGGGUAAGGCCAGUCUUGACCUAAAAUGAGGAAUUCUGUAAAAUUUCAAAUGCAAAUCACAUUUUAUUUUUGAUGUUAGAGAAAACUGCAAAUUGGAACAGCAGAGCUGUGCCUCUGGCCAUUUCCUGGAACUACAGAGGAGCAACUUGCCCCGGUUUCCAGUGGGUGAUGUUCCUCUUCUGCCACAGUCCCUGGCGAUGUUGAUGUGAUUGCCAUCAGAGCUCAGAAGCACAGAGCAGAAUCAUCCCCUGGAGGAGGAUUCCCUUCAGUGUAAGAAGUUCUUACAGAAUUAAUCCUCAAAGACUGUGGGUGGACUCUGCCAGGUUUUUCCCCGGGUGUACCAGAAGAGAGGAAGAGCCCUCAAAUACAGGAAAGUGCUCUUUUCAGUGACAGUAGUUCUUUUGGGCCCUGUGGCUAAGUGUGCUCCCACCCCAGCAGUAAGAUCACAGCUAAUCCUGAGAGGCAAGAGCUCACACCAGGCUACUGAAAGAAAAAGUGUCCUUUGUGGAUUGCAAGAGGAACUGGGACACACUGCUGGAAAUGAAGUGGCAGGUCAUAAACUAUCAUAAACUCAGGAGGAGAGGUGUUCCUUUUUGAGACACUCAUCACAACUAGAGAGAAUGCAGCUAAGAAAAUGCAGUCUUUAGGGGGACCUGGACUGUUGAAGUAUUUGAGCUAUUCGGAGGAAAUAGAAACUUGGAAGAGAUCUUUGUUCCACUAUUAUUUGGCAGCCCCUUACCCGCAGCUGCCAUUACUCCAGAUUCUCUCUGAUGAUCCUGCAUCAGGAGAAUGAGUUGACUGGGCACCACUGGGAAAUGUGGGCAGCUCCAGGCUGAACUAGAGAAGGGGCAUGUCAAAGGUCACUUAUUUGUGGCUUGACCCUUUGGAGGCCAGAUGUAAGAAUCAAUUUCUCACAGGUCCCAUGCUAACGCUUUUCAUAUUUAUUUCCAUCUGAGACUCACUUAGGCUAGGCAAAUAUCCCAUGGGUCUGUACCUCUCCAGUGCUUUCUUGCUCAUGUAAAAUUAGCUCAUUGGAAUGAAUAAAGAGAAUGGUAUUACUUUGGCUCGAACACGAAUGAGCACUUUCACUUUGUCAUAGUGUAAAUAUUAAAGUUGUAAGAGACAGCCCAGGGACCAACUAUUUUUUUUUUAAAGAUCCAAGUGCUUGCAUAGUUUCUAAAAUUCUACACCGGGGAACUAUAUCCUCAUUCAGCACUGAGACUCCUUGGUUCCCUAAAACCAAAGUCUCCAGGUGCCUUCAGGGGCCAACCAAGAUGGAGCUCCUUAUAGACCCAUGCAAUGUCAGAACUGGAAAACUUAGAAAUCUUUCAGUCCACCCAUCAUUUUAUGGGUGGCAAACUGAGAUCCAGAGAAUGCUCAAAUCUCAUAAUUAGCUAUGAAAGGUUAUGAUUAAAAUGCAAAUUUGGGGCCUCCAAUUUGGUCCUCUUUUCACUCUCCUUCUUGCUGGGGAAAGAACAGUGAUUCCUUGAUUGGCAGAGCAGAAAAUAUCUUCAGUUUUUAGGAUGACUUUAUUCCCCUAAAGAGUAUCUUUGUCACAUCUCCUCCUUGUCCAUUUUUAGAGACUCUACAGUGUUUAGCUACUGGUAGAUUUGUUCUAGUGGAUCUGGUACAAAUCUUAUAGAAAUAUCUACAAUUAUUCCAUGUUAUUCUGAAAUUAUUCAUACAGCAUUUCUUCUGUUUUAUUAGCCAUUUUUAAGGGAGAAGGAACCUAAGAUUAAUUGCUAUGGCUACAUGUCAUGCUCACCAAUGAACUCACCUCAUUUUAAUCCUCAUGAUCUAUUAUAGUAGGAAUGCUUGUUGUACAUAAGUAUUCAGGAUUACUGAAUCCACUUGAAUUUUUUGAGGACAGUGGCCAAAUACAAUUCUGUGGUCAAUUUAGGCUGCUCCUACUGUUCCCUGAUGUUAGGCAUUUUCUUCCACUAGGUCCUCUGGAAGGAUGAAAAACAAGGCAU